UACGUAGGGUGCAAGCGUUGUCCGGAAUUAUUGGGCGUAAAGAGCUCGUAGGCGGUUUGUCGCGUCGGCUGUGAAAACUUGGGGCUCAACCCCGAGCCUGCAGUCGAUACGGGCAAACUUGAGUGUGGUAGGGGAGACUGGAAUUCCUGGUGUAGCGGUGAAAUGCGCAGAUAUCAGGAGGAACACCGGCGGCGAAGGCGGGUCUCUGGGCCAUAACUGACGCUGAAGCACGAAAGCGUGGGGAGCAAACAGG
rnacentral:rRNA from 1 species